GAUGAAGAACGUAGCGAAACGCGAUAUGUAAUGUGAAUUGCAGAAUUCAGUGAAUCAUCGAAUCUUUGAACGCACAUUGCGCCCCUUGGUAUUCCAUGGGGCAUGCCUGUUCGAGCGUCAUUUGUACCUUCAAGCCUUGCUUGGUGUUGGGUGUUUGUCUCGCCUCUGCGCGCAGACUCGCCUCAAAACAAUUGGCAGCCGGCGUAUUGAUUUCGGAGCGCAGUACAUCUCGCGCUUUGCACUCAGAACGACGACGUCCAAAAGUACAUUUUUACACUCUUGACCUCGGAUCAGGUAGGGAUACCCGCUGAACUUAAGCAUAUCAAUAAGCGGAGGA
rnacentral:misc_RNA from 1 species